rnacentral:rRNA from 1 species
AUACGGAGGGUGCAAGCGUUAAUCGGAAUUACUGGGCGUAAAGCGUACGUAGGCGGUUCGUUAAGCUAGAUGUGAAAGCCCCGGGCUUAACCUGGGAACUGCAUUUAAAACUGGCGGACUAGAGUUGAGUAGAGGGGAGUGGAAUUUCAGGUGUAGCGGUGAAAUGCGUAGAGAUCUGAAGGAACACCAGUGGCGAAGGCGACUCCCUGGACUCGAACUGACGCUGAGGUACGAAAGCGUGGGUAGCAAACGGGAUUAGAAACCCCAGUAGUCC